GAUGAACGCUGGCGGCGUGCUUAACACAUGCAAGUCGAACGGGAAAUGUAGACGUAAACCUUCUGGCGGAGGCCCGCAUUUCGAGUGGCGACCUGGGGAGUAACGCCUGGGUAACCUGCCUCAUUCAGGGGGCUAAGAGUUGGACACGACAGGUGAUACCGCAUAAGACCACAGCAUCGCAAGAUGCGGGGGUUAGAAGUCCGGUGGUAUGAGAUGGACCCGCUUUCGAUUAACCGGCUGGCGGGGUAACGGCCAAGCAGAGCGACGGUCGAUAGCCGAUCUGAGAGGCUGACCGGCCACAUUGGGAAUGAGACACGGCCCAAACUCCUACGGGAGGGAGCAGUGGGGAAUAUUGCACAAUGGGGGAAACCGUGAUGAAGCGACGCCGCGUGAGUGAAGAAGUACUUCGGUAUGUAAAGCUCUAUCAGCAGGGAAGAAAAUGACGGUACCUGAUAAAGAAGCCCCGGCUAACUACGUG
rnacentral:rRNA from 1 species